ACUGGAACAGGCAAAGAAGCCCCAGGAAGCAGUCUUCAUCCCAGAAUGCAAUGAGGAUGGAUCAUUCACGCAGGUGCAGUGCCAUACCUACACUGGAUACUGCUGGUGUGUGACACCUGAUGGCAAGCCUAUUAGCGGCUCUUCUGUACAGAACAAAACUCCUGUAUGUUCAGGUUCUGUAACAGAUAAACCAUCAAGCCAGGGUAAUUCAGGAAGGAAAGG